rnacentral:misc_RNA from 1 species
CGAAGUCGUCAGUCGCGUUGUUCGUACGUACGAACGCGGAUUGCCAGGCUGACAUUGCGGCUCGUGUACGUUCGCUUCCCACCCGGACAUUCCCGACGCGAAUUUUCAUAUGAAAUAAUCAUGUUUAGUGUGGAUUACAGUGUGCCGAUCGGAAGGAACGAUGGACUUUAUUAAAUGUCGUAGUGCCCUUUUGGAUUAAAAUUUAAUUAAAAUAAAAUUAUGGUGUUGGUGCAAUUAUGUUGCUACUUGCGAGUAGUGAUCUGUCUGUGAUAUUUUGUUACAGUGGAGGGUGAUUUAUUCGGUAUGCAGGCGAUUUUAGGAUAUUUUAUGCCCUCGUUGCAUCGGGUUACCGGUAAGGGCUGGCCGGGCCCGCUGCACCUGAAGCGGCCACCGCCAGGUGGCGCCGCAGACUCGCCCCACUCCUCGGACCACCACAAAAUGGGGCUCUGGCCCCCCGGACUUUGUUGUACCAACGUCCUCAGGACGGUGGUGAUAGUAUUAUUUAGUUUACAAGCGUUCGUGUUAGCGACCGCGGCGCCAUCUAGCGCGCGAUUUUACACGAUACACUGGAACUCAUCGAAUCCGAUUUUCCGGAUCGACAAUACCGAUAACAUUAUAGAUGUAAAUAGGAAUAAUUUAAAAUUUGAAUAUGAUCAGGUAAACCUGAUCUGUCCGGUGUAUACUCCAGGAACGCGAGACGACGAAAUGGAGAAAUACAUAAUUUACAACGUGUCCAAGGACGAAUACGAGACGUGUAGGAUAACGAAUCCUAAUCCUAGGAUCAUCGCGGUCUGCGAUAAGCCUUAUAAGCUCAUGUACUUUACCAUUACGUUUAGGCCAUUUACACCUCAGCCUGGCGGGUUGGAAUUCUUACCAGGGCACGACUACUACUUCAUUUCCACGUCGACUUCGGACGAUCUCCACAGGCGGAUAGGGGGCAGGUGUACCACCCAUAACAUGAAGAUCGUCUUUAAAGUGUGGGGAAUGCCCGCCCAGAGUCCCACCCAGCCGCCCACGCAACCGCCUACGCAAUCGCCGCCAAGACUAUGGUGGUCAGUGACCCCGCCAAGACCUACCCCGCCUACAAACCCUACCACGACCAGUCGAAGUACCGUAUCAACGACGAAGAAAUCGAAGGCCUACAACAAACACCCCAACGAAGUGGUGAAGAGCGAGGAGCUGACGCUAGGUGGCGCCUCGAGCGCCUCGGUGCUACUCUCGAACACUAUUUUGCUCUGUGUGAUCGCGCUCAGGGCGCUACAGUCUAUGCGAUGAAUGUUCUCUUAAUUUUUUUUAACAAAUAGACUGUACAAAAAAAAGUGAUAUUAACGUGUAAGAAGUCGUGAAUUGUUGUUGUCGCCUUCCCAGCCCACAGCCACCGCCACUAUUCCCGGCAUUUUUGUGAACACUGGUGUUUAUAGUGGUGUCCCAAUUUGUUGUUAUACGGGUUGUUUUUGUGACUGUUUUAAUGUUUUUUUUUUGUGAUUAUUACAGUGUUAAAUAGUGCGAAGAAACUUAUCGACCUAUGGUGCGAUCAGAUUUUUGACCCACUGAUCCUUUUUUAAAAACCCAAUAAAAAACUCAGUUUUUAAAAAAGAAAAGCAUUUUAAAUUUUCACAAAAACUAACCUGACAACGUCAUGCUCUGAGAGAGCCUAAACAUAUGUAUCGUCCAUAUAAAUGUACCCCCGUGUAAAAGAUGUGUUACACAAUACUACGAAUAUUUGUUCACUAUAUAGGCACUAAGACAUCCCCCAUCCCUAUAUAUAUAUAUAUAUAUAAUAUAAUAUAUAUUUAUAUACUUGAAUGUGUGCCCACGCCCCCAUGUAAACCCCCCACCCCACUCGUUUUAUAAAUUUAUAAAACGCCAACUGUUGAGAAACCCCUUAUGACAACAUGAUAAUAUAUUUGAAAAUUGUAGAUAUUAUAAUGUAGAAACGAACGUUGAAAAUCGAAUUAAUUUAUUUAAAUUUUUUUUUCACUUUAAUACAUAACAAACGUGACAUAUAAUUAGAGUUACAGUUUUCCCUAUUGCCGAUCCGUACUAUAUAUAGGAAUAAUGUCGAUUUGUUAUGUGUUAAAUAAAAAAAAAGAAAAACGAAAGGUGCCACUAUUUUUUUAGGUACCACGGCCUGUAUUUUACGAAUUUAUUAAUGAAAAUGCGCCUACAUUUUUAUUAGUCUGGCCCUAGCUUGUAAGUAGGGUCGGACUUUCUACUUUUAAAUUUUUUUUUUAAAAAUGAUAAUAUGCCCAUUGAGAUGGUACUCUUUUUCACCUACUUUUUGCUGACUUAGUCGAUAGUGAAAUCAAAUUUUUGGUACCACCGAUGGUUCUUUUAAAAUUGGACAACUUUCUUAUAAGAGUCCCAUGUCGAUAAUUGAACCACUGAACCAGCGACAUGGAACUUUUUUGUAAAUAAUUCAGAGGGAAAUCAAAUUUUUAGUACCACUGACGGCUCCCUCAAUAAUUAAAAACAUUGUGAAAAAUCUUAACAAACUCAUCAAGGUGGUACGUUUUUCAGCUACUAUUUCCUGAAUAACUCAGAAGUAAAAUCAAAUUUUUAGUACCACGGACCGUUUGCUCAAAAUUAUAACUUUCUCAACAAUAAACUCAUCAAGAUGGUAAGGGAAACUGUUGUACUUUGUACCACAUUUUUUCUAAUUUUUUUUUAACUACAUUUUUGCGUCUAUAAAUAUGUCCAGUUGUUGUCUACGCUUUUUUAUACAAAUUUGCAUUCAAGAAUUUAGUAUAUCUACUUAAGAAAAAAAAACCAUUUAAAACUAUUGCAUAGUGGUCCAUGGUACAUAGUGGUACAUGGUCCUUGAGCCAAGCAUUGAACAUAGUUGUACAUAAAUUGUUUGUUUUUUCAAUCACACACAAAGUAACAUUAAAGUUGGUGUACAAAAAUUCUUUUUUAGAUAGUAUUAAUAGAUACAAAAAAUAAUUUGCUUAAUCUAGUUUUACAAAAAUCACCAAAGUAGUCCUUCCACUCUUCUCCUUCAACCUCUGCGAACACUACCACACUACUUACACUACUUUUCUCUACUUUUGUCGCUAAACUGUGAGAAAAAGCAGUAUACGCAUAUUUCUUCAUCACCACUGUCUUCAUUAUCAGUUGAUAUAAGAGACAUCACUUUAGAGUCAGACGAAGAACUUUAUACUUCUUUACUCAAGUUAACUUUUUUUGACUCUUUUUUUAGCUGUCUCUCUCCUUUCCUCUUAUUUUUCUUGCUAUCAUCCACCUGAGGGUAAGGCUGAACGUUUUCUGGGUAAGGAAUUUGUCUAUGUUUUAUUUGUAUUUGAUCUUGGCGUCUAAGGAACUGCAGAUGAAUGCGAAACUGACGAACAGUAAGUUAAAGUUUAGGGCCCAGGAUCUGAAGAUGCAUCAAUAACUGGAUAUAAGGCUGAAGACGUAAAUGGCACAGAUAAGAAUAACGAAGAGGAUGACAAACCUACAGCUAAAGGCAGAUCAGGAGGGCUGGAUCCAACUUUGUCAGUGGUUUAAGUCCCUUUAGUAUUUGCUGGCCUCUAUGUUCCUACAUGACCGCAAAGGAACGAAGAAAAUCUUCAUCAGUUGAUAUUAUUGAACGGGGAUAUUCCUGAUUUUCGAAAGCCGGACAAGAUAUUACCCGGAGUACAGGCACGAAGAUAUGCUGUUACCAAGACUCCUGCCACGUUGUAUAUAUCAAAGGUUUUUCCUUUGUUGUAGAAGCCAGGUUCCAAGAGUUUGGUUGUAAUAGUUCCUCGAAGGUUCCUAGAUAGAGAGCUCUAAAGACUCCAGCCUAUGUGAGGUAUGUGGGGCAAAUAUAACAAUUACAAUACCUGCAUCGAAUGCUUUGCCAAAGAAUUGUCGGACCAAGAUCGAUUUCAUGGUUCUCUAGAAUUAACGGGACGCGAUCAUCCUUAGAUCUUUUUACAGCAUGCAUAAAACGACGCAAAAAUUUUAUAAACAAUUUUUGGUUUGACCAACCUGAUGAUUUUGCCGGAUCCUCCAAAAAGCAUCUUUUUUUUUAAAUGGACUUUUGGAAAGAUAAACAUUGGAGGCAACGAAUUAUCGAUCUCAUGCAAAUAACAGUUAAGAGGAUCCCUCUUUCAGCCGAAGGGGCAUUGCUUAGCUGCUUUACACCUUUCGGAGCAACUAUUCUAGAUUGGCCUUGAACCAAGCUCAGCCCUGUUUCAACCAGGUUUCAAAUUUGGAAAUUCAUUUCACCUUAAAGCAGUUUACACAACAUAACUUUCUUGAGUUUCCAUUUUCUAUUCUUUCUCAGAGUUCCUUGUACCAUAUGUGACCCUUAUUAAGAUAUGGCUGGCAUAGUUUCGUAACUACUGAUUGGGCAUGACCUGCAUUCCCGUCGACUAUUCCUUUUCCAAUGCAUACCAGACAAUAAAGUAUGUUUCCAUGGGAUAACACACUUUUUGUAUGUUUCCUUUAAUGUUCUCACGACCUCUUCGACUUUGUAUAAACGGGAUGUUUUUUCAUCUUCUCUCGACAUAUUUAAAUCUGUUUCUCGACAUUGCUCUGCUACAUACUGGAUAAGCAUAGAGUGGCUGAGUAUUCUAAUAGGAUUCCAAUAAACCGGCAAAACUCUUUAGAAAAAAGUGGCUUCUACCUGUUCAUUGUAAUAACACAUUUCCCACAAUCGCCAUUUCUUGAAGAUUAUAACCCAAUCGCAAAUUUUUCCCAUGAGAGUCUGAUCGAACAAGAGCCAAUACAAAUACCUCAGAUGCAGAAGAAUCAGCCGGAAUGUUUACUUUUUAUCUUAAAUUACAGUAAAAUCAGAGGUUUUUUUAGGUUUUUCGUUCUUCUCUACUCAAAAUGAAACAUCUUCCGCUGCUGGAUUGUGUGAAUGGUGUUCAUUGCUAUCACUAUCAACAUACUCUGCACCAUUAACUUCACAAUUUUCUUCGCUGGAGUCCGAUUCAGAUCAUGGAUGGUGAGUACUGUCGAAGUCUUAAAACGGUUCUCCAAGCGUUUCCUCAUCGCUUGAUACGUUCAUAAUUGCAUCGGCCUCAGCUUGAAGCUCGUCUUCUCUCAGAAAACGUGACAUCAUAUUAUGACACCUGCAAAUUAAUUUUGUAGAGAGCUUGAAUCUUAACUAGCCUAGUUCAUAAAUUGCAUAUGGCAAGUAGUAAGAAAUAACGCGUAUGACGCCAGGAAAAUAAACUACUAAUAUUCAAAUGGAGCUAUUCAUACAUUGCCGUAGAACGCAAUCCGUAAGAAGUAAAAGACGCAUGAAAUGGCUCAGUUUCAUUUUUUGCGUCUUUCUUCUUCCGAAAUCGUGAGUAAAUGGUAAUAAAAAUAGCAAAAAUCACUUCCAACUAAAUAAAUAAAGCCAUUAGUACGCAGAGAAAAUCAUAGAUUAAUACUACUACGAGUAUGUCAAUUAUUCAUAAAAUUAAAUGUGACUCCAGCUGACAAUAAAUGACUUUGAUUGGACAGACAUCAUAAAUUUUGCUACGUGUCUUAUUUCUUACGAUUUUAAUUUAUAAAUGCAUAGACUCCUUACUGCUUGUGAGUUAUUUAUUACGUUUUAUUUCUUACUGCAUAAUGUACACAAUUUAUGCCAAAACUAUGUACGUGUCGUCACAUAAAACAUUUCCACCGAAACUCAAUUUUAUAUUUUUAUCUUAAACCAAGCGAUUCGCAUGUGUCAGGCCUAUCCAUAUGCAUCAAAAUUUUAGGCCUCUAUCUGUAGUCCAAAUGAUUUAUAUACCUAUUCAUUGAGUAUGAUCGAGCAACUAGCUCAUAUAUGAGAUGGCUUGUAGCAAACGUAUUAACCUCCGGUUCUCGAAUUGUUUUUCAUGUUGUUUCAAAAACCAUUUUAUCCAUUCUUUGCGGGUAAUUUCAUCAUCUUUCCAAAUAUCUGGUAUAUUUUUAUUAUUAGCUUUUGCAAAUUUAAAAGCCAACGUUUUGACACCCUUCUUUGUUAAACCAUACUGCAUUCUAGCUAUAGCUUGAAUCUAAGUAACAAGGCUUAAUUCGUCUUUAUCUGUAAAUGCUUUCCUCGCAGCAUAAUUGGCUGAAGACCGACAUUCAGUGUUUUCUGUAUUUUUAAAUUUCGGUAGUUUACCUGCUGAUAUUAAACACUUUUCACUUCUCUGUAGGUCGUUUAUCAUAUGCUGCAACGACUUGUACCAAGAUCCACGAUGAUGGAUGGAUUGAAGGAACACGAUAAUUUCAUCUUAUUUAAGACAGCUCCCCAUAUAGAACUGUCUAUUAAAAUUUACAAACAACAACAAGCAUUUUACUUACCAAAAACUCCACGUGUUUAAUCUGAAAUAUUUCUCGUUCAACAGUUUCACAAAAACUUUACUUUUACCACACGAAUUUGCGUUCUUUCACCAAAACUGUAAAGUCCAUUUGCACCGCUAUAAUGCAACUGAGGAGUUGUUUAGGUCAAGAUUGUAAGGAAGCAACAGAAUCCUGCUACUCAAAAUGGUCCCAGGUACACUAUGGUCUAGGUACAACAGUUUUACUCUUUUCAGCUACUUUUUUCUGAAUGAUUCAAUAAUGAAAUCAAAGUUUUAGAACCACAGACAGUUCUCCCAAAGAUAUAAAACUUCAAUCACAAUAAACCGAUUAAGAUGCUACCCUUUUUCAGCUUCUUUGUCCUGAAAAUUCAGGAGUAAAAUCAAUUUAUUAGUACCACUGAUGGCUCUUCUGUUGAACUGAAGUUUUUUAAAAACCACAAUAAACUCGUCAAGAUAGUACUCUUUUUCAUCUACUCUUUUUCUGAAUAAUUCAACAACGAUACCAAAUUUUUGAUAACACUGGGUGGGGUUGGAAAAAAGUCGAAUGGUACCACAAUGUUUUUUUUUUAGUACCAAGGCCUAUAUUUUACGAAUCUAUUAAUAAAGACGCGUUUUUAAAUCGAUUUUCUUUUUUUGCGAAGAAAAUUCCGUUAGUCCGUCCCUGGCCUAAGAAACGUUUUUACAAGGAGAAACGUGCUUUAAGGCGUGGCCUGUAUGCAGGGCCGGACUAUGGUUGUUUGGACACACGCAAAUUGGGCCUAGUAAUAUAACGAUUUCAACUAUAUAAAAUUAUCUGUACAGUUUUUUAUAUGUUACGUAGUAAAACCGUUUUAAGUAUGCGAACGCGCAUAGUGACCAAUCAUAAAGGGGUAUAUGGGAAAAAAACACAAACACUAACCUAACAUUUUUGCCCUUAAUUGAAAAAUCAUUCCAGUUCCCAUAUAACCCUUUAUUAACAAAAAAAAAUGUGUAAAUGUUAUAAUAUAUUUUUCCUGGUCAGUUAAUUAUUUCUAAUAUACAUAUAAAGUGUUGAACGUUUUUCGGACAAAUAUAAUUAUAUUAAGUGGAUCUUGACGCGUAUAUUUGUAUAUUAUUAAAGACUGAAAAAAUCCUAGUUUUAUUGUGUUAUAUAUAUAAAAAAAAUGAAAAAAGUAUUAGGUGAAGAUGACGUGGUGCGCCGCCAUUUUUUUUUCCUGUUUAGAAGUUAGAUUUAAUAGACCGGGUUUACAUAGAGCGUUAAAAGCGGGGGCGUAGGUUAGUGACAUUUUGGACCGGUUUGUGCAAAAACCUUUUGAGGUGACACGAUGUUUCGAAUGUCAAAAUCAUGUUCACGAAAUCGUUUGUGUUAUUUAAAAGUUUCGUGGGAAUAUAUUUUGUAGUUUUGGAAAUAUAAAGGAAAACUUGAUACCUUCAAUUUUUUCAAUUGGAUCACAUACUUCAUGACAAUUUUUCAGAUCACAAAUCAGAUCACAUGAUCCAUUUUGGAUCAAAAAUUGUCAUCGAUGGUUAUCGAUCUGGUUUUCAGCUAUUUUUUUUAUUGAAUAAUUUCUCUUGAAUAAUUUAUUGAUGAAAUCAAAUUUUUGGUACCAUUGACUGUUUUCACUAAUAACCCAAAUUCCCUUAAAACCACAAUAGUCCUACGACAUGGUCCUGCUUUUCAAUAUUUUUUUACCAAAUAGUUUAAUACAUACAUUUUUGGUACCGCUGAUAGAUUGCCCAAAAGCACAAAACUUUUUUAAAAAUCACAAUAGACACAUCGAUAUGGUGCCACCAUCACCAGUUCAGCAAUUUAUUUCUUAAUAAUUUGUGAUGUAAUGUAGUGCAAUAGAGUUUGGUCCAGGGUGGCCUGUUGCACUGCGACGAUUGUUGAUCUAUUGUGCUUCCCCUGAUCCUAUCUAUCCAAGACUUUCGCGAACAUCAUCGGCUCCUUCAGUGGGAGUGUCAACAGAUCCCUUUCACUCAACGUGUAUGUAUGUAGAAUCCUGUAUCUCCUGUCGCCCAGUGCUUCAGAAUAUGCUAUCAACUGUUCUAUCGAUUCCUCUUCCUCCCUGCAGAUGUUCCCCUACCAGCAUGCGUAUUGCGUAGGCUUUUUGUGUCUAGUCUUAAAGCUAGAAUCGCUCUUUCAACGUCGAAGCUCAGAAACUUUUUGGAAUGAACCAACCCAUUUCAAUGUCGCAUCAUCCUGAACGAUGUCCAUUUCACAAUCUGUCCUUUAAUACCUCUGUAGAAACCCAAAAGAUGAGGUUGGUCCAAUGAAGUUUUCCUCAGCCCUUUUUCCUUAGAUGUCCGCCAUGUCAUUCCUGACGUGCCCUGAUACCCAGACCAGGGUGUCAGAAAUAUCACUCGCAUACAUCAUGGUCUUGUGCCCUGUCCGGUUAAGGAGCCUGAUCAGGUUACUCGCCUCUACAGACCAUAGAAAAGGAGAUAGUAGACCUCCCUAUGAGGAUCCUUAAGGCGCACUGAGAUCGGUGAAUCAAAAUGUGGCCUUAAUUGACCUUUGGUUCAGCAUGCAGAUGACCCAUCUUAUGGUCGUAUAUCUUAUGGCCAGCUCAGCUCCUCUAUUAGAGAGCGCUGUUUUCAUUCGAAGAAAGUCCGCGUUAUUGAAGACGCCCUCAAUGUCCAUAAAUACACACAGUGCUAUUUUUUUUCCAAGGCCUUUUCGAAAUCCCUAACUAUUUUGUCCAAUGUCGUAAUAGUUGAUUUGCCCAUCUUAUAGGCGAAUUGGAAUGCGUUCAAUUGGUCUCAUGGAGAGUACCUUCAUCUGCUAUACUGGCCCAUUGUCUUCAACAUAAAAGAGGAUGGAUCAAUUCACCUGUAGGCCUAGGAGAUUUGAAAGGCCUGUUCCGAUUCUUGGAUAUAAACAUGACCCCUACCGCACUCCAAAUCCUUGAAACAUAUGCCAAUGUUAGGCUGGAUCGGCAAUCUCCUAAUAAAGAAUAGCAUUUCCUCCGUUCUAUCAUUCUAAUGAUGUUCGUUGCCUUUAGCCAAACAUGGGGUGAUGAAGAUACAAACCUGCAGUCAGGAAAGCAAGUUCUAAGAAGAAGUUCUAAUGUUCCUUAUUUUCAGUAUAUAUGCUUCUCGAAUUGCUCAUUUUUUACGUCCUUAAUAUGCGCUUAGGAAAGUUUCUAUAAUUUUCUUCAGGACUUCGUUAACUGCCUAUUAUAGGUGGUUAAGGCUUCCCUGUACCCUUCCUAAUUUCCAGUUCAUUUGACUCUUUUGAAUUCCAAUUUUGCUCUUCUAUCAAUUAGUUCAAAAAACGGUAUUUUCGUGUGAGUUAGUUUCUCUACGGAUGCAUCCAAUUCCUCAGGUGAUAUACUGGAAAAUGUGUUUCCAGUGAUUCUAGGCUGUAGAUCUGCGAGUAUCUCAACCAAUCUGUUGCCCUGGAGUUUAUAUAGAGCGAUUCACUCUUCAUCGGUACCCUGACUUCAAAAAGGAUGUGUUUAUGAUGAUACCACAUGGAGUUCUCUUCAGAGUCACUGAUCAUAUAGAAACAUUUGUUAGUUACAAUUUGAUUUUAGUUUGUAUAAUACCGAACUCAAAUUGGUGGUUCCACUGGCUGUGCUCACAAAAACAUGAAAUUUUAUUAAAAUUUAUAAUAGACCCCAUGGAUAUGGCACUCUUUUUAGUUACUUUUUUUGAGCCAUUUAAUAGUAAAUUCAAAUUUUUGGUACCCCUGAAGAUCCUCUCAAAUAGAUUCAAUAUUUUCAAAAACCAAAACAGACCCAUUGACAUGGUACUCGUUUUCAGCUACUUUUUCCUGAAGUAAAGCCAAAAAGACUAUUCUAUACUAUUCUCUUAAAAACCACAAUAAACCUAUCGACAUCGACUUUGAUUUACAAGGAGAAAAUUAAAUUAUUUUGAAUUAUAUGAACGUUUUUUUUUUGUUUCUUUCACAGCCUGUUCAAUAGUUCCAAAUACAAUACAAUGGUUUUUUAAUAACGUAACCUAUUUUUGACACAUGGAGCCGAAAAUGUCAUUUAAUUACGCUCCCAUUUUUAGUGCCUUAGUUGACAUACACUUAACGUGGUGGCAAUGUUUGGAAUCACAUUCUAAACGUCUCCGCCGCGAGCCAUUUACAUGUACGUAGCUGUCAGAAUGUACUUACUUUUCCUGUUAGCGUCUUUUUUGUAUUCUGUUCUUUUUUUAUUUUUUUGGUUGUGAACUCUGUUUUAAACGGAUUUUUUCACCAUCAGAACAUUGACAUUUUAGAAAUCUACUGUAUCGGCCUUGUAUUUAUUUUUAUCGUGUAUAUAUACGUACAUACUCUGUUGAUGUCCUAAAUUGUAUAUAAUUUAUUAAUUGUAUUUUGUAUAAUCGGUUUUUUAUUGAAAACAAAAAUUAUAGAUCGAAAAUUAUAUAAAUUUUUUCUGUCAUGUCAGUGUUUCAAGAAAAGUCUGUAUCACCCUGUAUAUGAUAGCAAAAUGUAUUAUUUAUUCUUCUUAGUUUGUAAUUAUACCGCUUUGCAAUGCAAUAAAAAUCGCAUACGAUGUAACA